rnacentral:hammerhead_ribozyme from 1 species
GCUCUGUUGAGGAGUCCCAUACUAGGACGAAACGGCCGUCCAGUGC